AGGGCUCCAUGGCGUGUCCUCUUUUUUUAAUUUUUUAAAUAUGGUAACCCUACUAUUUCCCUAUACCCUCCUCCAUUUUAUGCUGAUCUCCUCCCACUGACAUAACAUAAGUGCGAUUAGAUGGGGUCAGACCAUGGUCCAUCUUGCUCAGUAUCCUGUCUCUGACAGUGGUUCAUACGGGAGCUUCAGAAACUGCCUUAACCCUCCAGUGGUGGGGUUCCCCUGCUGGAUACCAACAGGCCCUGCCACACCACUCCCCAGAAAAGGGCAGUAAAGAGGUCCUUCAAGUGGCCUACAGCAGCUGUGUGGGAAGCAACCAAUCGGGGCUCACCAGGCUAGUAUAAGAAGAGCUGCAGGGCCAAAGUGAGACUGGUUCCUUGCUAGAGUUGAAGGAGUGUGGAUGCUAUGUGGCUGGCUGAGGGAGCUGCAGGACCUUGGAUGAGGUAGUGCUGCCAGAAGCUGGGGAGAGCAAGAAGGAGCCCUGAGCUGGUUGCAGGGACUCCAUCAGGACAAGGCCCUGAGACUGUAUGAGUUGGCUGGAGGGCUGAGUCAGCAAAGACCCACCACAAACAGGUAGAGAGUUCAGGCACAUGCACUUGGCCAGGGGGUGCUUGUGAGAGAAUCCUGAAAUGGUCUUCAUCAGAUCUCGCAGAAGGACUUCUCCCUCCUCUUUGAUUAUACUGUACUUUAAAAGAAUUCCCUCAGGACACAUCUGAGUAUGCUGCUAAAGUGUCUGUACUGUGCGUGAAUCUGUUCAUUUCUUAUUAGCUUGGCCAAACACCAUAUUGGAAUCACAGCCCCAAUGUCUUGGAGUGUCCUGUUUUGAACUUUUAGCAAACAGGCCACUGCUGUGGAAAAUUUUGGAUGUCCACUAAAGAUUUCCAGUUGUUUUAUAAGAACAAAUGUGGAAUGGUAUGACUAUGAGAGAGUGUUGCAAUACCUUGACAUAAGGUUAAGGACACUGUACAGCUGUAAGUUUUUAUUAUAUGAAAAUUGCAGCAUGGUGUAAUAAGUUAAUUAGAAAUAGCAAGAGGUUGAUUAUAAUACAGAAUUUCAACAUAUUCUUUAAAAAUGCCAAAAUUACUGGACUCUUCUAUGGAUUUUCUUUUCUUAUCCCAACCCUCUAUAUCCUGCAUACCUAGUGACAACUGUCUGACAAUUCAGAAAAGGUUGAGUUGUGUCCUAAUAAUUCAAGAAACUAAGCUAGAAAAUCUUUCUGCUUUAUAGCACAGUAUUUCUUUAAAAAUCACAGAGUGGAUAACUUUUGACUGCACGUUACAGGAUUCCUUUUGCUUCUUUACAGUAAGGACUGUUACUUCCUGCUCUGCUAGGGUGAGAUUCACUUUAUCUAUAUAAAAUGCCAGUAAUCAGACUUUAUAUGAGCAAACUUUAGAGAGAGAGCUGGGGAGGUGAAAUCACCCCAUUAGUGCAGAGCAAUGUAGCAGGGCAAUUAUGGGCUGAAAUAAUGCUUGCAGCUUCUAUGUGGCCCUUGUGCUAUGUAUUGGGGCUACUCAACUGAUAUAAAUAUAAAUCCCAUGAUCUAUUUCCCACCAUUUAAUGUGGAAGACCUGUCUUCACUUGAUGUUAUGGAGUGCCCAAUCCUUAAUUCGACUUGAUAAUUCAUGUGAAAACUACAAACUGCCAUGUCAUCUCUAGGAUUUUACUGUGAGUUAAUUAAUGUUAGUUAAGAACACACCUUCUCUUCCCGGUGAGAAGAAGGCAGACAAGAAAUAAGGCAUGCACCUGAGGGUAAUUAACUACUGGGAUAACCACCCAGGGCUGUGGUGUACUACCUAUCACUUGAAACCUUUUAGAAAAACAUCUGAUCUUAAUUUAAAGAUGCUCUAACAAUGGGCUUGAUGCAGGAAUUACUGGAUGACAUUCUAUGGCCUGUGGUGGAAAAUGUGAGAAAUUUCUGUAUUAUUUUUAUGAAAAAUGUGUGACUCAUUUUCCCCACUCACUUUAUUGUUAUCCACUGAGUGUGAAGUAGUUAAUUUCGCCUUUGGGAUCAGUGGGGAGGGGGCCGUGCAGUACAAAAUGGGUGUUGGUCACAUUGGGUUAGUAUGAAUUAAUUAACAUGAACUGUCAGUAUAUGAAUAUUGCUGUGGAAAUACACUGGAAGACCAACAGCUGGAUGUUAAGUUUCUAACACCUGGCAGCCCAGGGAAGGAGAACAUGUAGAACCAGACUGGUUGCAACAUGAAGCAAAGAACUGAGGUGUCAGGAUGGGUUAAUAAGAACUCAGCUGACCAGUGCAAGGGAGAGAGAUUUGACUCAUAGCCAAACUUCCCUGCUUUGCCUAUAACAAAAUCUACCUUCCAGGCCAAGGCAAAAGAGGAGCCUCCUUACCUGAAAAAAAGCAGAAGCUAGCAAGUUACAUAUGUAGGUUUUGCUUUAACAUUCUAACUGAAAGACCCUAAAAUACCAUACUCCAAUUGACUAAUAAAUGCUGGCUUGUUUUGAAAAGCCUGUCCCAUGUCACUGCAAAACGUCUGCUGUUGUAUGGCUCCCAGGAGGGUUAUGUCUCCUGCAGGGCAUUCAAGCUCUUUUGGACUCUGCUGAAGAAACCACAGAGGUGCUGAACCCAGAGACCCAGUCUCAGAGCAGUGGAGCCAUGGGGCUCCCCUUUAAGAAAGGGGAGGUGCAUAAGGACUAGACCUAAAGUAGUGUACUCCCAGAGAGACUGUGCAAAGGUUGAAGGCCUAGCACCCUCUGAGGAUCUGAGAUACCUGUGUUAUGCAUGAGCUCUGACUAGAUUAUCCUAAAGAUCCACUCUGGCCUUUUAAUAUGGAAAGCUGGCUUGGAGACCCAUUCCAGGGUGCACAGAGAGCAUGGAGGCAUCUUAAGAGACCACUCUACCCAUAACACCCACACAGCCCCAACACAGGGGGGUUGUAAGAGACA